ACAUAACCUUUAGCCAAACAAGUAUUAAAGGCGACGCCUGCCCAGUGAAUAAUUAAACGGCCGCGGUAUCCUAACCGUGCAAAGGUAGCAUAAUCAUUUGUCUAUUAAUUGUAGACCUGUAUGAAAGGCAAAAUGAGAGCCCAACUGUCUCUUAUAACAAAUCAAUAAAACUGAUCUUCUAGUACAAAAGCUAGAAUACUAACAUAAGACCAGAAGACCCUGUGAAGCUUUAACAAACCCAUUAAACCUAAUAAUGAUUACUUUCGGUUGGGGCGACCUUGGAAUAAAAAAGAACUUCCAACAUAUGACCUACUCAUAAAAUAAGGCAAACAAGCCACUACUAGACCCAGCACAGCUGAUAAUUGAAAUAAGUUACUCCAGGGAUAACAGCGCUAUCUUCUUUAAGAGCCCAUAUCAAAAAGAAGGUUUACGACCUCGAUGUUGGAUCAGGACAUCCCAGUAAUGCAUCCGUUACUAAAGGUUCGUUUGUUCAACGAUUAACAGUCCUACGUGAUC
rnacentral:rRNA from 1 species